rnacentral:rRNA from 1 species
CCAAUAGCGUAUAUUAAAGUUGUUGCAGUUAAAAAGCUCGUAGUUGAAUUUCGGGAUCAAUGUUUCGGUCAUGCCGUUGGUAUGUACUGAUACUAUUGAUUUCUCACCUUCUAAAGAACCGUAAUGCCAUUAAUUUGGUGUCACGGGGAAUUAGGACUGUUACCUUGAAAAAAUUAGAGUGUUUAAAGCAGGCUCACGCU